rnacentral:hammerhead_ribozyme from 1 species
GCACAGCUGAGGAGUCCCAUACUAAGACGAAACGGCCGUCCAGUGC